rnacentral:tRNA from 1 species
CACUAAGAAGCUAAAUAGGGUAAAGCAUUAGCCUUUUAAGCUAAAAAAUGGUGAUUCCCAACCACCCUUAGUGA